AUUGAACGCUGGCGGCAGGCCUAACACAUGCAAGUCGAACGAGUGGCGGACGGGUGAGUAAUGUCUGGGAAACUGCCCGAUGGAGGGGGAUAACUACUGGAAACGGUAGCUAAUACCGCAUACCAUCGGAUGUGCCCAGAUGGGAUUAGCUAGUAGGUGGGGUAACGGCUCACCUAGGCGACGAGCCCUAGCUGGUCUGAGAGGAUGAUCAGACACACGGGAACUGAGACACGGUCCAGACUCCUACGGGAGGAAGGAGUGGGGAAUAUUGGACAAUGGGCGAAAGCCUGAUCCAGCCAUGCCGCGUGUGUGAAGAAGGUCGUCGUAUUGUAAAGCACUUUAAGUUGGGAGGCGUUACCAACAGAAUAAGCACCGGCUAACUUCGUGCCAGCAGCGCGGUAAUAC
rnacentral:rRNA from 1 species